CAUCCCAGCCGUCUGUCGCCCUUUCCUCUUCCCGAAAGGGUCCAAAUUUCAGAAAAAAGGGUGUUUCCCUUUAACAGUGAACUUUUUCGAAUUUGAAUCGAGGAUGAGCCCUUGAAUUCGGGGAAUCCAUCCUCCCCCCUCCCCCUCAAAUAUUCUAGACCAUAAUUUCCCCUAUGUAUAACAUCUUUUUUUCACUGUGAGGGAGGGAGGAAAUUUUUGAAAAACAAAAGGGAGUUACUAGAUAUUGUCGAGUUUGGAGAUUUUAGUGGAGAAAAUUGUUAAAGGUUUUAGUUUGAAGUUGGAUUCUUAGGAAAAGAAAAUACUUAUAAAGUUUCAGUGAGAUAGCCUAAGAUAAGUAAAACAGGUUUUCAAAGAAAACGGAGGAAGAACUCUUUAAUUUAGGUGUUGAGUUCGAUAUUUUGCUUAAGUUCUCAACUGCUGCUCGUGUUUAGGUUCUUGUGGUGGUCGUCCCCUGUCCGUUUGUCUCAAAACGCUUUGCGAAAAAAGAGAGCCUUCAAAGCUCAAUUCCUUUCGAGUCAAACUCAUAAAAUUAACGUACAGGUCCCAAGUUGAAAGGAUUCAAACAGAUUAAGAAGUUGAAGAAAUUGGACAAAAGAGUCCAACUUUAUUUUUUUUCAGAGCGUUGUAUUUUGUUAUCGUUGGGCCUAAGCCCUUGUUGUCUUUUCUUUUCCGUAUUCAUUAUUUACAGAUUGUCUAAUUAGUCUAGGAUAGGUACAAAAUGAAAUGGGUCGAAAUACCGGUCUAGAUAGACAGAAAGUGGAUUUGGACCCAACUCUCUCUCUCUCUCUCUUUUACUUUAUCACUUACUUAUCUGUAGUUAAUUUCUGUUAGUCUUAGGAUUAAAAAAAUCAAAUCCUCCGCAAGACGUUAUUUCGUUUUAAUAAUUCAAUGAAAUCAAUCAUGUCUAUAUAUUUUAAAACAAUAGGAAUUUUGUAAGUUAAAAAGUCUCACUUAGAUAAUAGUUUAAUAUCUCUCUUUUUACAAAUUCUAAAUAAUUUUUCAAUUCUAACUAAGUUAAAUCUUUUAGCCAAACAUUUUAGUUUUUGGAUAAUCGGAGUAACGCGAGUAUUUUAGGUCUCAUAAAAAUCUUCCUAAAAUAUUAAUAAGAGCCCUUGAAUCCUGUUUAACGUUUUUGAUCAAUUUCGUGUUUUGAUCUUUUGAAAACAAAGGUUUCUUGAUUUUUCUAAAAUUAAGUGGCGACUCUCAAAAUCAAAUCUAAAAUCACUAAAAAUAUUUUUCUUUUAAAUAAAACAGAAUUCUAGCUUCUUUUCUUUCUCAAAAUGUGAAAACAUUUAUAAUUUUAGGGACUACUUAGUUCCCUUGUAGCUUUUGAGAAAUAAACUCACACUUUGCUCUUUACUUUAC
rnacentral:lncRNA from 1 species